CUACGGGGGGCACCAGUGAGGAAUAUUGCACAAUGGGGGGAACCCUGAUGCAGCAACGCCGCGUGGAGAAUGACGCAUUUCGGUGUGUAAACUCCUUUUAUAUGUCAAGAAAAUGACGGUAGCAUAUGAAUAAGCACCGGCUAACUCCGUGCCAGCAGCCGCGGUAAUACGGAGGGUGCAAGCGUUACUCGGAAUCACUGGGCGUAAAGGACGCGUAGGCGGGUUGGAAAGUCAGGUGUGAAAUCCUACAGCUUAACUGUAGAACUGCACUUGAAACUUCUAAUCUAGAGUAUGGGAGGGGGAGAUGGAAUUAGUGGUGUAGGGGUAAAAUCCGUAGAUAUCACUAGGAAUACCUAAAGCGAAGGCGAUCUCCUGGAACACUACUGACGCUAAGGCGUGAAAGCGUGGGGAGCAAACAGGAUUAGAUACCCCCGUAGUC
rnacentral:rRNA from 1 species